rnacentral:pre_miRNA from 1 species
GAUUUCAACUGAAAAAUUCAUCAACAACAAAGUUGUAUAACUCAUCAAUAUCUAUAACUUUUAUUUUGGUAAUUUGUUCAUCCGACAAAGUGAUUUGUAACAGUGUUCACAAAAUAUACAUAUCUCUUAGAUAGUUUAUAAACUAUAAGAAAGAUAUGUAAAUUUUUUGAACAAUGUUACUAUUACUUUAUCGGAUGAAUAUAUGACCAAAAUAAAAGUUAUAGAUAUUGAUGAGUUAUACAACUUUUAUGUUGAUGACUUUUUCAGUUGAAAUC